rnacentral:misc_RNA from 1 species
GAUGAAGAACGCAGCGAAAUGCGAUAAGUAAUGUGAAUUGCAGAAUUCAGUGAAUCAUCGAAUCUUUGAACGCACAUUGCGCCCGCCAGUAUUCUGGCGGGCAUGCCUGUCCGAGCGUCAUUUCAACCAUCAAGCCCCCGGGCUUGUGUUGGGGACCUGCGGCUGCCCGCAGGCCCUGAAAACCAGUGGCGGGCUCGCUGUCACACCGAGCGUAGUAGCAAUCACCUCGCUCAGGGCGUGCUGCGGGUUCCGGCCGUGAAACUCUCACUAAGGUUGACCUCGGAUCAGGUAGGAAUACCCGCUGAACUUAAGCAUAUCAAUAAGCGGAGGA